rnacentral:rRNA from 1 species
CCUACGGGGGGCUGCAGUGGGGAAUAUUGGACAAUGGGGGAACCCUGAUCCAGCCAUGCCGCGUGUGUGAAGAAGGCCCUCGGGUUGUAAAGCACUUUCAGUGAGGAAGAACGCCUGGUGGUUAAUACCCAUCAGGAAAGACAUCACUCACAGAAGAAGCACCGGCUAACUCCGUGCCAGCAGCCGCGGUAAUACGGAGGGUGCGAGCGUUAAUCGGAAUUACUGGGCGUAAAGCGCGCGUAGGUGGCUUGAUAAGCCGGUUGUGAAAGCCCCGGGCUCAACCUGGGAACGGCAUCCGGAACUGUCAAGCUAGAGUGCAGGAGAGGAAGGUAGAAUUCCCGGUGUAGCGGUGAAAUGCGUAGAGAUCGGGAGGAAUACCAGUGGCGAAGGCGGCCUUCUGGACUGACACUGACACUGAGGUGCGAAAGCGUGGGUAGCAAACAGGAUUAGAUACCCGGGUAGUC